rfam:Meloidogyne hapla strain VW9 Mh10g200708_Contig155, whole genome shotgun sequence.
GGGACUGUACUUCUCAGGAUCAUUUCUGUAGUAUGUAUUCCCUUGCGGAGACGCAAAAUGCUUCACCAAGCACCCUCGAUGACGAGUUUAGGCGUUGUCCCCUGAGCGUGAAGCUUGUUGGGGCGGUGCCAAUUUUUGGAUGCCCUGACGUUGAAGACCGUCAGCUGGCCCUUUUGGGUCGGCUAUGGGGGCAACGCUCUCUGAGCGGG